rnacentral:rRNA from 1 species
UCUAACCUAAGAGUUUGAUCCUGGCUCAGAACGAACGCUGGCGGCAUGCCUAACACAUGCAAGUCGAACGCUAUUUAUAGAGUGGCGCACGGG